rnacentral:rRNA from 1 species
UCCUAUGGCCAAACCGCCCUGAACAUGUGCAAUCUUGUCUGAUCUUAGAAGCUAAGCAGGGUCAGGCCUGGUUAGUAUUUGGAUGGGAGAACACACAAACCAGUAUGAACAAGGGU